GCAGAACCCAGAAAGUACAGUGUGUCAGAAGCCAAGGAAAUGAACUCAGAGGAGGGAGGAGGGCUGCCAUAUGUCUGCUGGUUUGUUGUUUAGGAAGCCGUUAGUCUUUGUGGUAGCACUUUCCUUAAAGUUAGGGUGGAAGCAGGUACCAUGAUGUUUAAGUUAGAGGUUCCACCACCUCUCAGCGUCAUCACACUUGGGACCAAGCUUCCGACAUAUGAACCAUGGGGGAUAAACCAUAUCCAAACCAUAGCAACAGCCGUCUUAAUAAACACAGCCAGAUAAGAUAUGGUGUAUUAAUGUAGCUCUUUGGGCGGUAAUGGGAAAAGGAUGCACCUGAAGGGUUAAUGUUUGUAAUUGUGGACUUGUCAGGGGCAAGAAAUAGUUUGUUUUCUGCUCUUUAUACCUUUGGAGAAAUGGUAGGGGAGGGACAG
rnacentral:lncRNA from 1 species